CAUGCAAGUCGAACGGAGAAUCAGCAAUGGUUCUUAGUGGCGAACGGGUGAGUAACGCGUAGACAACCUGCCUCAAAGAUGGGGACAACACCGCGAAAGUGGUGCUAAUACCGAAUGUUGCAUUGGAUUCGCAUGAAUCUGAUACUAAAGGUGGCCUCUUUAAAUGCUACCGCUUUGAGAUGGGUCUGCGUCUGAUUAGCUAGUUGGUGAGGUAACAGCUCACCAAGGCGAUGAUCAGUAGCCGGUCUGAGAGGAUGAACGGCCACACUGGGACUGAGACACGGCCCAGACUCCUACGGGAGGCAGCAGUGGGGAAUCUUCCGCAAUGGACGAAAGUCUGACGGAGCAACGCCGCGUGAGUGAAGAAGGUUUUCGGAUCGUAAAGCUCUGUCUUUGAGGACGAAUGUGCUUAAUGUAAAUAAUGUUAAGUAAUGACGGUACUCGAGGAGGAAGCCACGGCUAACUACGUGCCAGCAGCCGCGGUAAUACGUAGGUGGCAAGCGUUGUCCGGAAUUAUUGGGCGUAAAGCGCGCGCAGGCGGGAUAUUAAGUCUGUCUUAAAAGUUCGGGGCUCAACCCCGUGAUGGGAUGGAAACUAAUAUUCUUGAGUGCAGGAGAGGAAAGUGGAAUUCCCAGUGUAGCGGUGAAAUGCGUAGAUAUUGGGAGGAACACCAGUGGCGAAGGCGACUUUCUGGACUGUGUCUGACGCUGAGGCGCGAAAAGCCAGCGGAGUGAACGGGAUUAGAUACCCCGGUAAUCCUGGCCGUAACGAUGGGUACUAGGUGUAGGAGGUAUCGACCCCCUUCUGUGCCGGAGUUAACGCAAUAAGUACCCCGCCUGGGGAGUACGGCCGCAAGGUUGAAACUCA
rnacentral:rRNA from 1 species